AUAUAUCAUCCAUAUGCCAUACUCGUGUCACCACACAUCUUGGUUAAAAGGAUAACCAACUAAGAUGGCAUACCACAACCUACCCUCGAUACAGUUAUCAUCCUUGUAAUAAUUAUAUCAUUUAAUCACGAGCAGAAUUUAAGAACCACACGAUAAAUCUUUCUUUAUCAUUUUGAUAGUAGUUCUAAAGAAUUCAUCAUAAUGUAUGAG
rnacentral:lncRNA from 1 species